UUAAAUGAAUUGACGGGGAGCACCACAACGGGUGGAGCUUGCGGUUUAAUUGGAUUCAACGCCGGAAAUCUUACCGGGACCGACAGCAAUAUGAAGGCCAGGCUGAAGACUUUGCCGGAUUAGCUGAGAGGUGGUGCAUGGCCGUCGUCAGUUCGUACUGUGAAGCAUCCUGUUAAGUCAGGCAACGAGCGAGACCCACGCCCACAGUUGCCAGCGUACUCUCUGGAGUGACGGGUACACUGUGGGGACCGCCGCUGCUAAAGCGGAGGAAGGAAUGGGCAACGGUAGGUCAGUAUGCCCCGAAUAUCCCGGGCUACACGCGAGCUACAAUGGUUGGUACAAUGGGUAUCUACCCCGAAAGGGGACGGGAAUCUCCUAAAACCAAUCUUAGUUCGGAUUGAGGGCUGCAACUCGCCCUCAUGAAGCUGGAAUCCGUAGUAAUCGCGUUUCAACAGAACGCGGUGAAUACGUCCCUGCUCCUU
rnacentral:rRNA from 1 species